GUGCAAAUCCAGUCACUAACUCUACAUGAUAUUGCAAAAGUGAGGGGAAUCAGAUUUGCUAAAGUAACUGUGGUGAUAGAAAUGCUAUUAGCCUCAGAAGCUACUGAGGUGGUCCAUUCCAUUCUAGUACAAUG